ensembl:lncRNA
CUCAAAGCAAAGUUACGCCUUCCUGACUGAAUUCGCCCUGCUGUGAAGCAAAAGGAGGCAAAACUCAGAGAAAACCGGAAAGAUCUGUUUCUUUUAUUACAAAGUGGACUCCUGGAUGCCUAAGGGAGCUGUGGUUGCUACCAGUAUUUGACAUGACCAUAGAGUAUCUGACUACAUAUCCAUUGCCUGGGGAAAGAUGAAAACUUAUUCAUAUGUUGAAAUCCUAAUCUCCAAUGUUGAUAGUGGUUGAAGGUGGGGCCUUUGGGAGAUGAGCCUUCCAUUCUCCAGGGGAUGGUUUCGACCCAGGGAUCGAACCUGGAUUUUCCACACUGCAGGCAGAUUUUCUACCAUCUGAACCACCAGGGAAGUGAAGUGAAGUCGCUCAGUCGUGUCCAGCUCUGCAACCCCAUGGACUGUAGCCUAC